UGAUUCGAACCGUGCCAGUGGCCUAGUGGUUAGAGCGUCCUCCUCAGAUGUGGGAGGUCGUGGGUUUGAUCCCAGGCCGAGUUCAA